rnacentral:rRNA from 1 species
GCCUCGAGCUCUCUAAAGGGUUGUUCUAGACGAGAACGUUGAUAGGCAGGGUGUGUAAGCGCUGUGAGGCGUUGAGCUAACCUGUACUAAUGGCCCGUGCGGCUUAACCAUACAACACCCAAGGGGUUU